UGGAUGGCAAGAGGUCAGUGUUGGUGACACGGGUGUGGAAGGUUGACUGCUGGUUGUCUCGGAUGCUCUUUAUCUGGCCCCAGUGGAGAAGUCAUAAAAAGAAAACAAUCUGAGGAGUAAUGUCCGGGUAGCAGUCUUGAGAAGUAGUGUUGGCUCUCUCAAGGCCGAAACUUCAAAUGAAAUUAAUUAACUGGGUAGCAUUCUUGAGAAGUAGUGUUGGCUCUCUCAAGGCCGAAACUUCAAAUGAAAUUAAUUAAUGUAUAAUAGAAACGGUGUCCUCAGAAACUGAUGAAGUUCACACCACAUGUAAUGUACGCUUCCCAGUGUAUUAAUUUUCACUACAGGUCCAGUCGUAUGAGAGGUGAUGACCUGAGGUGGGAUAUUACUGUGAUCUGGUGGCUUAAAAGUCCCACCGGACUCUGAGCUACAUUAAUAUCAGGCAGGGCAACCCAAAAAAGAAAUACGUACUUCCAUGUCUCCACCCUUCCUUCAGAGUGCAGGCACUGUACUUCCCACCUCCAUACAUGUGGCUAACCGAUUUUUGAUACUGUGAGCGGAUGAGGUGGACGGCUGUGGUUUGUGGGCUGAGGUGGACGGCUGUGGUUUGUGGGCUGAGGUGGAUAGAUGUGGUUCUUAGGCCAAGGUCGGGUAUUCCAUCAUACAUGUCUACAGUGUUCUGCUCUGCAGUACUACACACAGUCUGCAUUUACUGUUGAUUGGAGCACUCAUACCAUGCAACUUUUUGUUGUAAAGUAAAA